rnacentral:lncRNA from 1 species
CGUCGCCUACUUGAAGUACGGUCCCAAUAUUUACAAUCUUUACUUCUCUAUUAUAUUGCUCAAUACGUUCGCGGAUAAUAUUACUAAUUUCGUCGGCUUUAAUUGUUGUCAUAAGUAUUUCUUAAUUCUUUUUUUUCUUAAAAAAAAAAAAAAAAAAAUAAUGUGCCUACAGUAAAAGGACUAAUCAGUUAUUUCUUUCAUCGCUCCAAACAUGCCAAUAUUGGCACUAAUGGUACGUAAAUGUAACUCCUUGUUCAAAACAACUAUUCAGAGUUCCGAGCGCUCCUUGUAAAGCUUGUUGGAAAACCCGUUGUCGGACUUGAUUAAUUGCUCUUUGUUGUUCAAAAUGAAUGGUUUCAUUUUUGUAAUUUUCUAAUUGAUCCAAAGUCUUAUAAGUUGAAUUAAUCAAAUUGAAUUUUUCUCGUUCUAUCUCAGAGUAUCCAUUCACUCGAAACUGAUCUGCUUCUAUUUCUAUUUUUCGUAACCGGGCCCGGCUUUUUCCAGCCGUUCAAUGGCCCUCUCUGCAGUUCUUCUGAAUUUCGAAUACUAUUCAAAAUCCUCAGUUUGCGAUUAUCUAAUAAAUCACUUAAUGAAAGUAGAUUAUCUUUCCAUUCAUCUCAAAACUUCGAUGAUCCCUUCCCGAACCAAACAUGAAUUUUUCGAUUCAUUUGGCUCUCCCACUCAAUUACGUCAACUACUUAUGUAUGGGGGGGGUUCCCAUAUCUUUUUUUAAUGUAAUGAGCCUAUCCUCUCCCUCUCUUCUCUAUUCAUAUUCCAAAAUGAAUCUUGCGACUGAUCCCUAAUCCAAGAACAGAAUAUUCGGAGGACUCUUCUGACCAAAUCAAAAUAUAUAAUUGUCAGCAAAGUUGUUUCUUUUUUUCUUCAAAUCCAAAGAAUUCUUCUUACUUUAUAUGGAGGUCAUCGAUUCAGCAUAAAUAAGGGUUGGUUGAAAUACCUAUUUUUCCAAUAUUUUCCAAUCAAAUUUCCAAUACCAAUAAAAGGCUCAAAUCUUUUUAUCAACAUGAGUGUUUUAUAUCGAAAAAAAAAAGUCCAAUAAUUAUUAUUAAUUAUUCAUUUAUUAAUUAUUCAUUUUGAAAACAUUUCUAUUCUAUAGUAAAACAUAGUAGUAGAAAGAGUACCGUGCUGUGUCUGGACUUCAAACUUUAGCUUUAACCAUGUUAAUGGUCCCACAUUAUUGGUUUGGUUAAUAGAGAAUCAAAAUAGAUUUACCAACAAAUCACGAAAUGCUAUGGUUCUUAAAUAUGAUUUGAAAUUUAUUCAGAAGUAAUUCGCGGAAUCAUGCACCCUUUUCCCUUUGGUCCUAGUUAUAACGAAAAAAAGUGCAGCUGGUUGGGUCCAGCCUAUUCUUGAAAUAAACAACUCGCACACACUCCCUUUCCAAAAAAGAUCAAUACACCAAGCACUACACUUAGAUUUAUUGGAUUUGUUGCUAAAAUAUCGGUAUUAAGCCCGAAACUCCCGGCGAAUGGCCAGUUAACCAAAGAAACGAAAGAAUCGGUUACAUUUUUCAUAUGAUCUCCUCUUUUAGAUAGACUAAAAAAAAAAAAAAGAACGCAGUUCUUUUUUUUUUUUCUACGUAAUAUAUAUUUAUUUAAUUUAUUUGUUUUUUUAGUAAUUUACCUAUUUCGAAACAGGGUCAAAAAUUCGAUUUCGAAAUCCUUUCUUUGAAUUGGCAAUUGGGGAUUCCCGAUAAGAGGGAUACUUAUUAGUAUUAGGGGCCGGGACUCCUGUCCAUUGCAAAACCCUCGUUUGUUGCAGCAUCACUUAAAAAGAGGGUUUCCUUUAGACUAAGAAAGGGAAAGAAAAAGGCGAACUGGUAUGCCUAUCCUAAUUCCCCAUCCUCAAAUCAGUCCUUCCAAUUGGAGGAGUUAAAUCUUGAUAGAAUUCAAAAAAGCCAGAAACACGGAUAUAAUAAAUAAGAGAAAAAAAAUAAGUAAAUUGCCCUUCCUAUUUCUAGGAUUAAACAAAAGGAUUCGCAAAUAAAAGUGCUAAUGCUACAACCAGCCCAUAAAUUGUUAAAGCUUCCAUAAAAGCCAGACUAAGCAAUAAAGUACCUCGUAUUUUUUCCCUCUGCCUCGGGCUGUCUCGCGAUCCCUUCUACUGCCUGGCCCGCAGCAGUACCUUGACCAACUCCAGGUCCAAUAGAAGCAAGCCCAACAGCCAACCCAGCAGCAAUAACGGAAGCGGCAGAAAUCAGUGGAUUCAUGAUAAGUCCCUCGCACUAAAAUAAAGAAAAACUAAAGAAAUCGUUAAUGAUACAAUCGUCCAAUAAAUUAUGACUUAAUUAUUCCGUCACUAGGAUUCGCCCAGCCGAAGUAACUAAGAACUCCCAAUUGGCGUAAUAAUAAUAUUAUUAUUGAACCAUCAAAACUUUUUAGAUAUCUCUUUUUUAGUUUCGAUCCACAGGCACAACACAGGAUUUUUGUAAAUCCAUACGACUUUUGUUCUUCCAUUUCUUUUUUCGGAACCCUUUUUUGAAUUCUUCGUUCGUUUUCUUUCUUUCAUCUCUUUAUUUUUAUUGAUUCAAUUCCCAGUCAAAGCAUCAAAGCAAAGACGAAAUCGAACAAUUUCUAAAUUUCUAUUAGAAUCCCUAUCGAAAUUCACAAUAAUCACAAGAGUAGGGUGGAUUAGAUAUAUCUUUAGUUCAUAUAUAACUAGCAAUAUCUAAUAUCCCAUAUACAUGUCUUUCUUACAGAACGUAAACCAACUAUUAAUAUCUUAGACUCCAAGUAUUCGUAUCUUAAAGUCAAUCGUAUUCUCGAACCCCUUUUAAAACUCAAAAAAUACACAAGAGUUGGCAUUUGAUUCCAUAUACCUAAUUAUGUACCCCUCGCCGAAUCACCCCGUUUUUUAUAAAUCUCUUUUUUUUUUUUUCUAUUCCUUUUCGUUAUCAUUAUCCACCAGGCUACAAUCGAAAUAGACGAAUUCAUUGGGGCGAAUCAUUGCAUAGAACUAAAUAUCAGUAUUUGAUUGAGGUACGGCCAUGCAAUUUAUUAUAUUAAUAUUCUCUUUUGGUCAAUCGUUGAAUUGAAGAAUUGACUAAAAGCAACUAAAAGGGGAAUUAUUUUAUAAAGCAUCUUUCUUUUCUUUUUUUUAAUCACCCGCCUGUGAUACUAUAAGAAUUUUUAUUCAACUUAUCACUCUUGGUAUUUGCUAUUCGAAUUGAAUGAACAAAAAUGAACAAAACAAUAUAAAGAAAAUAUUAAUUGGCGGGGAGAGGGGGGAUGAUAUAAUAAGGCCAAAGAGGAAUUUGAGGAAAAAGAUCCUUUAGAUCUCUUUCCUACAAUUCCCCAAUAUCGUAAUUUUUUUUCUACGACUCUUGAUCGUAUAUGCGGUAUUUGUAGAUUUAUGUUUGGAUAUGUAUUUUUCCUAAGUAGAAGUAUAAGUAGAUUAUCUUGAGUUACGCAUCCAUUGCCUUUGUUCUAAGCUACAAAAAAAAGACUAUUUCGAAAACGAGUCAAUGAUGUCCCUCCAUAGAUUCGCCUAUAUAAGCCGCAGCUAAAGUUGCAAAAAUAAGAGCUUGAAUACCGCUUGUAAAUAAUCCAAGGAACAUGACGGGUAUAGGAACCACUAAAGGUACUAAAGAAACAAGAACAACAACUACUAAUUCAUCGGCUAAUAUAUUCCCAAAAAGUCGAAAACUAAGUGAUAGAGGUUUUGUGAAAUCUUCUAAAAUGUUAAUGGGUAAAAGAAUUGGAGUCGGUUGAAUGUAUUUACUGAAAUAGCCUAAUCCCUUUUUGGAAAGACCCGCAUAGAAGUAUGCUAUUGACGUGAGCAAAGCUAAAGCAACGGUAGUAUUUAUAUCAUUCGUGGGUGCGGCUAACUCCCCAUGAGGUAACUCUAUGAUUUUCCAAGGUAAAAGAGCACCUGACCAAUUAGAAACAAAAAUAAAAAGAAACAGAGUUCCAAUAAAGGGAACCCAUGGGCCAUAUUCUUCUCCAAUCUGAGUUUUGCUCACGUCUCGAAUGAAUUCAAGGACAUAUUCGAAGAAAUUUUGAGUGGCAGUCGGAACGGUUUGUGGAUUCCGAACGGCUAUAAAGGCUGAACCUAAUAAGAUAGCAAUUACAACCCAAGAAGUAAUAAGUACUUGGGCAUGGACCUGGAACCCACCUAUUUGCCAAUAGAAAUGUUGGCCUACUUCCACACCGGAUAUAUCGUAUAACCCCCUUAGUGUAUUCAUGGAACAUGAUAGAACAUUCAUAUUGCCCUCUGACCGAAAUAGAAAUUUAAAAAGAAUUAUUUUGAUUCAACCAUCUUCUUUUCGACUUGUCUACUUGAAUUGUAUAUUUUGAAUAUCUGCUAAUUGCAUAAUAUCCACCAGGUUUGUCUCUUUUCUUUUGUGCAAUUCAGGAAUAGUACCCAAUCCAUAAAUCUAUGGAGUUACCAAAAUAAUUUAUUUAUCUUAUUAUUAAUCAAGGAUUUCGUAUAUAGCUAGAGCGACCCUCACAAAUUGCGAAUACUAAUUUGUUAAGAAUUAAUCGGAUUGAGGCUAUAGCGUCAUCGUUUGCUGGAAUCGAAAUAUCUGCGAGAUCGGGGUCACAAUUUGUAUCGAUUAAACAAAUUGUUGGAAUUCCCAAAGUGAUACAUUCUCGAAGAGCCGUAUAUUCUUCUUGCUGAUCAACGACGAUUACAAUAUCGGGUACCCUCGUCAUAUAUUUAAUCCCGCCCAGAUACGUUUGCAGACGCGAUAAUUGUCUCUUCAAAAUAGCGGCAUCCCUUUUGGGAAGACUGUCGAGUCUCCCCCCUUUUUGUUCCGUUCUCAAAUCCCUGAACUUGUGAAGUCGCGUUUCUGUAGUGGACCAAUUGGUUAACAUACCGCCGAGCCAUUUUUGAUUAACAUAAUGGCACCGAGCCCUUAUUGCAGCUCGCGCGACUAAAUCAGCUGCUUUAUUUUUAGUACCAACAAUUAAGAAUUGUUUUCCCCUACUUGCUGCAUCAAAAACUAAAUCACAAGCUUCUGAUAAAAACCGAGCAGUUCGAGUCAGAUUUGUAAUAUGAAUACCUUUAUGUUUUGCAGAUAUAUAAGGUGCCAUUCUAGGAUUCCAUUUCCGAGUACCAUGACCAAAAUGAAUUCCUGCUUCCAUCAUCUCUUCCAAAUGGAUGUUCCAAUACCUUCUUGCCAUUUCUCCCCCACUUCCUCUUUUUUUUUAAGAGACGAGGCGCCCUGAAAUAAAUAAUUGUUCCGAGGGAACCUUCUCUUCUACCAGAGAGUGACCAUUGAUACACGACCCAGGCCAUUCAUUACUUUCUAUUCAUUAUUAUCCUUCGUUCUAUUCAUUAUUAUCUUUCUUUUCGUACCAUUAAAAAAUCAAAUGAUCACAAAUAGUUAAAAGAAUUCGCUCCUAGGACUCAUUAAACCCUCUAAGCAAUUGUGCUCUGAUGUAUCAUGGAAAGUCGUUGAAAUGCACGAGUCAAAUAAUUCUCUGUGGUGUAAGAAAAUAUCUCUCAUUUCCCCCCCGAAUAAAUUCCCUUUUUGUCUUUCCAAAAGAAUGUUGUUAUGCUGCCUUGAACAGUGGACUAAUCCUUUGAAUCCGGUACCGACUGGUAUUAUCCCCCCCAGAACAACGUUUUCUUUCAGGCCUUUCAACCAAUCGAUACGACCUCGGAGAGCAGCUUUUGCUAAAACUCGCGUGGUUUCUUGAAAACUUGCUUCGGAUAUAAAACUUUGAGUAUUCAGAGACGCUCUCGUUAUUCCCAAUAAGAUAGCUCGAUAACAGAUCACUUCUUCCAAAGCGCGCCCCAUUCGUUCCGCUCGUAACAAUCCAAUCAGUUCGCCGGGUAAAAAAAUAUUAGACAUUCCAUCUUCGGAAACUAAAACUUUUGAUGUUAUUUGACGUACAAUAAUUUCUAUAUGCCUAUUAUGGAUCUGCACCCCUGCGAUCGAUAAACCUUUUGGAUCUUAUUAACCAAAGAGAUACGACUUUGCACUAUAGUUAGCUCAGCACCAAUCAAGAAUCCCCAGGGAAUCCCAAGAAUUCUUGUUAUACUCGCGUUCCAACCCUCAACUCUCUUUUCUAGGUUCAUCGAUAUUGAAUCAAGCGAACGCACUUCUAACACCUGUUCUACUUUUGGAAGACCCUGCGUUAUAUCACCAGAUCUCGAUUUUUCAUAUAUAAAUGUAACUAAUGUAUCCCCUUCGUAAAGGAUUGCUCCAUAAUGCCCAUGAACAGUUGCUCCAGGAGUAGCCAAAUAAGGCUUAGCUGAUCGUAUUACUACAGAGUUAACUUGAACAAUUAAAACUUGACCGGAUUUUAGGUAUGGUCCCCUUUUGGUUAUACGUACAUUUUCACAAAGAAACUGCCCAAGACUAAUUAUCGGGGACAUUUCCUCACAAUAAUUAGGCUGGAGAAAAUACCAAUUCAAAUUAAAUGGAUUCAAAAGGAUCUUACUAUCUGUAUCAGGAUUAUAAAUUUCCCCGGUUUCGUCCAUUAAAUAAUAUUUAAGUACUUGAAAAGGCUGUUUUAAAUUGUCAAGUUUCAAAUAUUUAGUUACCGAGAUAUGAUUAUGAGUUAUUAAAUAGUAAAAAUGAAUAAAAAUUCGCAAUUUGAAGGAAUGUUCCUAAGGGUCCCAACGAAGUCUUAAUUGGAGUUAGCGAAUCUUUUUGAAUUGGAAUUGAUUGUUUUAUCACAUUGUGAUAUUUUACAUCGUUCAAUGGACCCAUUCGAAAAUAAUUAGAUGAUGAUAAAAUUAUCAAAACUUGGCAUUCCUUAUUUUUAUUCAACAACGUACGAAUAGUUCCUUGAUUUUGUCUAAGCGAUUGUUCAACCCCUGCCUUGCCAAACACGGAAUAAAACGGAUUGCUAUUGGUGCGAGCUGAACCAUUAUCAGAAAUUAAUCCUGAACCCGACGGAUGAUCCCUUUUUCUGAGAUACGAAAUAUUGGAUUUCACUAAGUUGAUUCUUAGGAAAUUUCGAAUCAGACCAUUUGUACGUACUUCAACAAAGGAAGCACAAACCUCUUCGACGGAAGAACUUUUGUUGUCUUGGUCCCAAUUCAACACUAAACACGUCCGAACUAAUUGAAGACUUGUAUCAGAAAUUCCCCCAGCGGCUUUGCCCUUCCCAUAAAGGACAUAAUUGACAACUCGAAAUUGCAUAUUAUCCUUUUCCCGCAGCGGAUCCUGGGGAAAGAGUGUUGCUAAAUUUAUACCGUUCGCUAUUUCAUAUGUGACUACGGGUCGAACCAAAACAAAAGACUUUUUCUUUGUAGGUGUGAUCCGUUGAACAUAGAUCCACUUUUUCAAUUUUUUUGAUUCCUUAGUGGCUUCCUUAAGUUUUGUUUUUUCACUUUCUGGCGGUAUCAGGAUGCCACUGUGUCGGGAUAUCUUAUCUAUCUCUCCGGGAAAAUGGAUAUCUCCCGAAAAUAUUUUUAGUUCAACCCCUCCCCUUUUUCUCUCCAUUCGGACCAAUCCGCCCACCCGGCUUCGUAUAUUUAAAGUGAUUUGUGUGUCUACUCCAAUGAUACUAUUAUUCCGUACCAUUAGGUAAGAAGAUUCGGGAAAAAUAUGCACUUCCUCCGGAAUGAAAAAAAGGCGAUCUAUUUUCAUUUGGUAUUUUGGCUUAAUUUUUUUGAGUCCUCGAUACUCAAUCAAGUCCUCUUUUUUAACGAUUGAAUGCGCCCCCAGAGUCCCCCAUUUAGUAAUUCCGGAACUCUUUCUUCUGUAUCGAGGAUCGUCGAAAUAAGCAAGAAUACUAUUUCUACGGAAAAUACCCCUUACGGGUAUUUCAAUCGAGAUACCUGAAUGGGGCAUUAGCUCUUUCUCUUGCUCUUGAAUCGAGUGGAAUGGAAUAAGAAAUCCAUUUCUUUGCCUUUUUGCCAAUAAAUCCGAAUUUGCGUGGAGAAUUGCAGGAUGGAUGAGAUUACAAUGACCAGUACUUAUGAUUCUAUUAAAUCCCGAAUAAUCAGACAUCUCAAGAAUUCGACCUUUUUUUUUAGCAGAAAAAUCAGAACUAAAAAAUUUGUGUCCCGUUUGAUCAUUAUUCACUGAGAGCGAGAGGCUAGAAAUCUCUCUUCGUUCGACAGAAAGAGAAUGAAUAUUCAUUUGAUCUUGAUCCUUGUGGAGUGAAAAAGAAACUACACUAGAUCUGCGUGAACCCCCCGACAAUAUCCAUAAAUGGCUUGUUUUUGGCAAGAGGUGGACAUUACUAUAUGUAAAUUCGGGUGCAUGGUACACAUCAGUACUCCAGUGCAUUUCUCCCUCUGAAUCAGAAUAAAUAUGUUUUCGAACCCUCUCUUUAAAAUUCAAAGUGUAUGCUCCCGCCCGAAUCUCAGCAAUCACUUGUUCUGAUUCGACAUAUUGAUCAUUUUGAACUAAAAGAAAACUUUUUGGUGGAAUAGUCACAUUGUGCAUAAUAUCUUCACCCUCAAUAAUUACAUCCAAAUCUAUAGAACAUAGAAAAGCCGGAUGCCCGUGACGUGUGCGCGUGGGAUGAACCAAAUCCUCAUUGAAUUUGAUUUUACCAUUAGAAGGGGCUCGUACAUGUUCUGCAGUGCCCCCGUAAAUACGCCGCCGGUAUGAAAAGUUCUUAAUGUUAGUUGAGUCCCUGGUUCUCCAAUAGAUUGACCCGCAAUAAUACCUACGGCUUCCCCCAAUUCAACCAGGUCACCAUGAGUCGGACUCCGACCAUAACAUAAUCGACAGAUCCACGAUGUACUCCUACAAGUAAAGGGGGUUCGAAUAGAUAUUGCUUGUGUUCGAAGGGUUAUGAGUCGAUUGACAAGUCCAAUCCCAAUAUCUUGAUUUCUAAUGGCAAUGGAUCGCUGGCCCAUAUAUAUAUCGUCCGCUAAUACACGACCAAUUAAUGUUUGGCUAAAAACCCUUUCCGACAUCAUCCUAUUUUGAUUUUGAGGACUCACAGAAAUUCCUCGGACAGUGCCACAAUCUGUUCUACGUACAAUAAUGUGUUGAACUACUUCAACAAGUCUGCGCGUAAGAUAUCCAGCAUCUGAUGUUCGGACAGCGGUAUCGACAACCCCCUUGCGGGCUCCAUAGCAAGAAAUGAUAUAUUCUGUUAAAGAAAGCCCUUCGCGUAAAUUACUUUGAAUGGGUAAAUCAAUCAUUUGCCCUUGGGGAUCAGACAUUAAUCCUCUCAUACCCACCAAUUGGUGUACUUGAGAUGCAUUUCCUCUAGCCCCCGAAAAAGACAUUAUAUGGACUGGAUUAAAAGGCUCAGUCAUCCUAAAAUUAGGAUUCAUUUCUUGUCGCAAAUAUUCACUUGUAGCAUACCAUAUCUCAAUGGAUUGUCGUAGUUUUUCUAUCGCGUGUACAUUCCCAUAAUGAUAGUGUUUUUCCAAAAUAAAACUUUGUUGUUCAGCAUCUUGGACUAGCCAUCGCUUAGAAGGUAUCGUUAAAAGAUCAUCAAUGCCUAAUGAAAUAGAUGUAGCAGUGGCUUGCUGGAACCCCAGGGUCUUUACUUGAUCCAGGAUGUGGGAUGUAUAUGCCAUUCCGAAGUGAUCUAUUAACCUGCUAAUAAGUCGUUUAAUGGCAGUUCCAUCUAUCAUUUUAUUGUGAAAGACCAGACUCACCCGUUCUGCCAUAAGUACCUCCGUAUUCCGCUGAGUAGGAUUCGCCAAUGGAUUUUAGUCAAUGAGUGGAAAACUUCCUUUUCUCGAUCUUGAUUCGCGUAGAAAGGUCAGCAAUGGUGGUCAUACUUGAACCGGAAAGGCCCAAGGAGUCGUAGAAUUACUUAGUUUAGACACCAGAUGAUUAGGUACCAUAUGAGCAGGCCCGGCAAAACCCUUGUAUAGCUUCUUCGAUUUCUCGAUAAAGAGAAAUAUGGCCCACGGUGGUUCGAAUGUAUAUAGAAAGAAUUUCUUUUUUUACACUUCGUACUAUUAGAUAAUGCCCAUAAAUCUCAUGAGAGGUACCCAAAGAUUCAUAGUGAACUUCGAUGGGAGCUUCCCUUGAAGCAAUAAGGCGUUGAUCUAAUCGCCACCGAAGCCACAACGGACUAUCUAAAUUGAUUCUUUUCUGCCGAUAAGCUCCAAUUGCAUCAUAGGAAUUACAAAAAAGGGGUUCUUUCGUAUACGUAUAGCUAUUAUCGUCAAUUCUUUCAUCUGGAUAAUUUCUUCGAUUCCAUGUAUUAUACCUAUUUGCACAAAUACCUCGACGAUUCCCGCUCGUUAAUACAUAGAGCCCAAUAAGCAUAUCUUGAGUCGGUAUGGAAAUGGGAUCUCCAAUAGUAGGAGACAAGAGAUUCAUAUGAGAAAACAUAAGUAACCGAGCCUCUGCUUGAGCCUCUAAAGAUAAGGGUACAUGAACAGCCAUUUGAUCCCCAUCAAAGUCUGCGUUGAAUCCCUUACAAACUAAUGGAUGUAAACAAAUAGCGCGCCUUCACUAAAAUGGCUGGAAUGCCUGUACGCCCAAUCUAUGCAGAGUAGGCGCUCUAUUCAGCAAUACUGGAUGUCCCUGCAUAACUUCCUGCAGUAUUUCCAGAUAAUCGGCCCUUUUUCCGAAUUUUACUCUUAGCAACUCUAUGUUCGAGCAAUGUUGUUAAUUAGCCAUAUCUGGAAUUAUUUUUUUCACAUUAUUUUUUUUUGAAUCUGCUUUUCUUUUUAUUUCCGUUUCUUUUUUCAUUUCAUUAAUUAUUUCUCGAAAUCGCAAUAGAGCUUUUCCAGACUUUUGUAAUUUGUGGGCUAAUUAGACAACACCUUGCUUCGAACAUAGGAGUUGCUAAGAGUAAAAUUCGGGAAAAAGGGCCGAUUAUCUGGAAAUACUGCAGGAAGUUAUGCAGGGACAUCCAGUAUUGCUGAAUAGAGCGCCUACUCUGCAUAGAUUGGGCGUACAGGCAUUCCAGCCCAUUUUAGUGGAAGGGCGCGCUAUUUGUUUACAUCCAUUAGUUUGUAAGGGAUUCAACGCAGACUUUGAUGGGGAUCAAAUGGCUGUUCAUGUACCCUUAUCUUUAGAGGCUCAAGCAGAGGCUCGGUUACUUAUGUUUUCUCAUAUGAAUCUCUUGUCUCCUACUAUUGGAGAUCCCAUUUCCAUACCGACUCAAGAUAUGCUUAUUGGGCUCUAUGUAUUAACGAGCGGGAAUCGUCGAGGUAUUUGUGCAAAUAGGUAUAAUACAUGGAAUCGAAGAAAUUAUCCAGAUGAAAGAAUUGACGAUAAUAGCUAUACGUAUACGAAAGAACCCCUUUUUUGUAAUUCCUAUGAUGCAAUUGGAGCUUAUCGGCAGAAAAGAAUCAAUUUAGAUAGUCCGUUGUGGCUUCGGUGGCGAUUAGAUCAACGCCUUAUUGCUUCAAGGGAAGCUCCCAUCGAAGUUCACUAUGAAUCUUUGGGUACCUCUCAUGAGAUUUAUGGGCAUUAUCUAAUAGUACGAAGUGUAAAAAAAGAAAUUCUUUCUAUAUACAUUCGAACCACCGUGGGCCAUAUUUCUCUUUAUCGAGAAAUCGAAGAAGCUAUACAAGGGUUUUGCCGGGCCUGCUCAUAUGGUACCUAAUCAUCUGGUGUCUAAACUAAGUAAUUCUACGACUCCUUGGGCCUUUCCGGUUCAAGUAUGACCACCAUUGCUGACCUUUCUACGCGAAUCAAGAUCGAGAAAAGGAAGUUUUCCACUCAUUGACUAAAAUCCAUUGGCGAAUCCUACUCAGCGGAAUACGGAGGUACUUAUGGCAGAACGGGUGAGUCUGGUCUUUCACAAUAAAAUGAUAGAUGGAACUGCCAUUAAACGACUUAUUAGCAGGUUAAUAGAUCACUUCGGAAUGGCAUAUACAUCCCACAUCCUGGAUCAAGUAAAGACCCUGGGGUUCCAGCAAGCCACUGCUACAUCUAUUUCAUUAGGCAUUGAUGAUCUUUUAACGAUACCUUCUAAGCGAUGGCUAGUCCAAGAUGCUGAACAACAAAGUUUUAUUUUGGAAAAACACUAUCAUUAUGGGAAUGUACACGCGAUAGAAAAACUACGACAAUCCAUUGAGAUAUGGUAUGCUACAAGUGAAUAUUUGCGACAAGAAAUGAAUCCUAAUUUUAGGAUGACUGAGCCUUUUAAUCCAGUCCAUAUAAUGUCUUUUUCGGGGCUAGAGGAAAUGCAUCUCAAGUACACCAAUUGGUGGGUAUGAGAGGAUUAAUGUCUGAUCCCCAAGGGCAAAUGAUUGAUUUACCCAUUCAAAGUAAUUUACGCGAAGGGCUUUCUUUAACAGAAUAUAUCAUUUCUUGCUAUGGAGCCCGCAAGGGGUUGUCGAUACCGCUGUCCGAACAUCAGAUGCUGGAUAUCUUACGCGCAGACUUGUUGAAGUAGUUCAACACAUUAUUGUACGUAGAACAGAUUGUGGCACUGUCCGAGGAAUUUCUGUGAGUCCUCAAAAUCAAAAUAGGAUGAUGUCGGAAAGGGUUUUUAGCCAAACAUUAAUUGGUCGUGUAUUAGCGGACGAUAUAUAUAUGGGCCAGCGAUCCAUUGCCAUUAGAAAUCAAGAUAUUGGGAUUGGACUUGUCAAUCGACUCAUAACCCUUCGAACACAAGCAAUAUCUAUUCGAACCCCCUUUACUUGUAGGAGUACAUCGUGGAUCUGUCGAUUAUGUUAUGGUCGGAGUCCGACUCAUGGUGACCUGGUUGAAUUGGGGGAAGCCGUAGGUAUUAUUGCGGGUCAAUCUAUUGGAGAACCAGGGACUCAACUAACAUUAAGAACUUUUCAUACCGGCGGCGUAUUUACGGGGGGCACUGCAGAACAUGUACGAGCCCCUUCUAAUGGUAAAAUCAAAUUCAAUGAGGAUUUGGUUCAUCCCACGCGCACACGUCACGGGCAUCCGGCUUUUCUAUGUUCUAUAGAUUUGGAUGUAAUUAUUGAGGGUGAAGAUAUUAUGCACAAUGUGACUAUUCCACCAAAAAGUUUUCUUUUAGUUCAAAAUGAUCAAUAUGUCGAAUCAGAACAAGUGAUUGCUGAGAUUCGGGCGGGAGCAUACACUUUGAAUUUUAAAGAGAGGGUUCGAAAACAUAUUUAUUCUGAUUCAGAGGGAGAAAUGCACUGGAGUACUGAUGUGUACCAUGCACCCGAAUUUACAUAUAGUAAUGUCCACCUCUUGCCAAAAACAAGCCAUUUAUGGAUAUUGUCGGGGGUUCACGCAGAUCUAGUGUAGUUUCUUUUUCACUCCACAAGGAUCAAGAUCAAAUGAAUAUUCAUUCUCUUUCUGUCGAACGAAGAGAGAUUUCUAGCCUCUCGCUCUCAGUGAAUAAUGAUCAAACGGGACACAAAUUUUUUAGUUCUGAUUUUUCUGCUAAAAAAAAAGGUCGAAUUCUUGAGAUGUCUGAUUAUUCGGGAUUUAAUAGAAUCAUAAGUACUGGUCAUUGUAAUCUCAUCCAUCCUGCAAUUCUCCACGCAAAUUCGGAUUUAUUGGCAAAAAGGCAAAGAAAUGGAUUUCUUAUUCCAUUCCACUCGAUUCAAGAGCAAGAGAAAGAGCUAAUGCCCCAUUCAGGUAUCUCGAUUGAAAUACCCGUAAGGGGUAUUUUCCGUAGAAAUAGUAUUCUUGCUUAUUUCGACGAUCCUCGAUACAGAAGAAAGAGUUCCGGAAUUACUAAAUGGGGGACUCUGGGGGCGCAUUCAAUCGUUAAAAAAGAGGACUUGAUUGAGUAUCGAGGACUCAAAAAAAUUAAGCCAAAAUACCAAAUGAAAAUAGAUCGCCUUUUUUUCAUUCCGGAGGAAGUGCAUAUUUUUCCCGAAUCUUCUUACCUAAUGGUACGGAAUAAUAGUAUCAUUGGAGUAGACACACAAAUCACUUUAAAUAUACGAAGCCGGGUGGGCGGAUUGGUCCGAAUGGAGAGAAAAAGGGGAGGGGUUGAACUAAAAAUAUUUUCGGGAGAUAUCCAUUUUCCCGGAGAGAUAGAUAAGAUAUCCCGACACAGUGGCAUCCUGAUACCGCCAGAAAGUGAAAAAACAAAACUUAAGGAAGCCACUAAGGAAUCAAAAAAAUUGAAAAAGUGGAUCUAUGUUCAACGGAUCACACCUACAAAGAAAAAGUCUUUUGUUUUGGUUCGACCCGUAGUCACAUAUGAAAUAGCGAACGGUAUAAAUUUAGCAACACUCUUUCCCCAGGAUCCGCUGCGGGAAAAGGAUAAUAUGCAAUUUCGAGUUGUCAAUUAUGUCCUUUAUGGGAAGGGCAAAGCCGCUGGGGAAUUUCUGAUACAAGUCUUCAAUUAGUUCGGACGUGUUUAGUGUUGAAUUGGGACCAAGACAACAAAAGUUCUUCCGUCGAAGAGGUUUGUGCUUCCUUUGUUGAAGUACGUACAAAUGGUCUGAUUCGAAAUUUCCUAAGAAUCAACUUAGUGAAAUCCAAUAUUUCGUAUCUCAGAAAAAGGGAUCAUCCGUCGGGUUCAGGAUUAAUUUCUGAUAAUGGUUCAGCUCGCACCAAUAGCAAUCCGUUUUAUUCCGUGUUUGGCAAGGCAGGGGUUGAACAAUCGCUUAGACAAAAUCAAGGAACUAUUCGUACGUUGUUGAAUAAAAAUAAGGAAUGCCAAGUUUUGAUAAUUUUAUCAUCAUCUAAUUAUUUUCGAAUGGGUCCAUUGAACGAUGUAAAAUAUCACAAUGUGAUAAAACAAUCAAUUCCAAUUCAAAAAGAUUCGCUAACUCCAAUUAAGACUUCGUUGGGACCCUUAGGAACAUUCCUUCAAAUUGCGAAUUUUUAUUCAUUUUACUAUUUAAUAACUCAUAAUCAUAUCUCGGUAACUAAAUAUUUGAAACUUGACAAUUUAAAACAGCCUUUUCAAGUACUUAAAUAUUAUUUAAUGGACGAAACCGGGGAAAUUUAUAAUCCUGAUACAGAUAGUAAGAUCCUUUUGAAUCCAUUUAAUUUGAAUUGGUAUUUUCUCCAGCCUAAUUAUUGUGAGGAAAUGUCCCCGAUAAUUAGUCUUGGGCAGUUUCUUUGUGAAAAUGUACGUAUAACCAAAAGGGGACCAUACCUAAAAUCCGGUCAAGUUUUAAUUGUUCAAGUUAACUCUGUAGUAAUACGAUCAGCUAAGCCUUAUUUGGCUACUCCUGGAGCAACUGUUCAUGGGCAUUAUGGAGCAAUCCUUUACGAAGGGGAUACAUUAGUUACAUUUAUAUAUGAAAAAUCGAGAUCUGGUGAUAUAACGCAGGGUCUUCCAAAAGUAGAACAGGUGUUAGAAGUGCGUUCGCUUGAUUCAAUAUCGAUGAACCUAGAAAAGAGAGUUGAGGGUUGGAACGCGAGUAUAACAAGAAUUCUUGGAUUCCCUGGGAUUCUUGAUUGGUGCUGAGCUAACUAUAGUGCAAAGUCGUAUCUCUUUGGUUAAUAAGAUCCAAAAGGUUUAUCGAUCGCAGGGGGUGCAGAUCCAUAAUAGGCAUAUAGAAAUUAUUGUACGUCAAAUAACAUCAAAAGUUUUAGUUUCCGAAGAUGGAAUGUCUAAUAUUUUUUUACCCGGCGAACUGAUUGGAUUGUUACGAGCGGAACGAAUGGGGCGCGCUUUGGAAGAAGUGAUCUGUUAUCGAGCUAUCUUAUUGGGAAUAACGAGAGCGUCUCUGAAUACUCAAAGUUUUAUAUCCGAAGCAAGUUUUCAAGAAACCACGCGAGUUUUAGCAAAAGCUGCUCUCCGAGGUCGUAUCGAUUGGUUGAAAGGCCUGAAAGAAAACGUUGUUCUGGGGGGAUAAUACCAGUCGGUACCGGAUUCAAAGGAUUAGUCCACUGUUCAAGGCAGCAUAACAACAUUCUUUUGGAAAGACAAAAAGGGAAUUUAUUCGGGGGGAAAUGAGAGAUAUUUUCUUACACCACAGAGAAUUAUUUGACUCGUGCAUUUCAACGACUUUCCAUGAUACAUCAGAGCACAAUUGCUUAGAGGGUUUAAUGAGUCCUAGGAGCGAAUUCUUUUAACUAUUUGUGAUCAUUUGAUUUUUUAAUGGUACGAAAAGAAAGAUAAUAAUGAAUAGAACGAAGGAUAAUAAUGAAUAGAAAGUAAUGAAUGGCCUGGGUCGUGUAUCAAUGGUCACUCUCUGGUAGAAGAGAAGGUUCCCUCGGAACAAUUAUUUAUUUCAGGGCGCCUCGUCUCUUAAAAAAAAAGAGGAAGUGGGGGAGAAAUGGCAAGAAGGUAUUGGAACAUCCAUUUGGAAGAGAUGAUGGAAGCAGGAAUUCAUUUUGGUCAUGGUACUCGGAAAUGGAAUCCUAGAAUGGCACCUUAUAUAUCUGCAAAACAUAAAGGUAUUCAUAUUACAAAUCUGACUCGAACUGCUCGGUUUUUAUCAGAAGCUUGUGAUUUAGUUUUUGAUGCAGCAAGUAGGGGAAAACAAUUCUUAAUUGUUGGUACUAAAAAUAAAGCAGCUGAUUUAGUCGCGCGAGCUGCAAUAAGGGCUCGGUGCCAUUAUGUUAAUCAAAAAUGGCUCGGCGGUAUGUUAACCAAUUGGUCCACUACAGAAACGCGACUUCACAAGUUCAGGGAUUUGAGAACGGAACAAAAAGGGGGGAGACUCGACAGUCUUCCCAAAAGGGAUGCCGCUAUUUUGAAGAGACAAUUAUCGCGUCUGCAAACGUAUCUGGGCGGGAUUAAAUAUAUGACGAGGGUACCCGAUAUUGUAAUCGUCGUUGAUCAGCAAGAAGAAUAUACGGCUCUUCGAGAAUGUAUCACUUUGGGAAUUCCAACAAUUUGUUUAAUCGAUACAAAUUGUGACCCCGAUCUCGCAGAUAUUUCGAUUCCAGCAAACGAUGACGCUAUAGCCUCAAUCCGAUUAAUUCUUAACAAAUUAGUAUUCGCAAUUUGUGAGGGUCGCUCUAGCUAUAUACGAAAUCCUUGAUUAAUAAUAAGAUAAAUAAAUUAUUUUGGUAACUCCAUAGAUUUAUGGAUUGGGUACUAUUCCUGAAUUGCACAAAAGAAAAGAGACAAACCUGGUGGAUAUUAUGCAAUUAGCAGAUAUUCAAAAUAUACAAUUCAAGUAGACAAGUCGAAAAGAAGAUGGUUGAAUCAAAAUAAUUCUUUUUAAAUUUCUAUUUCGGUCAGAGGGCAAUAUGAAUGUUCUAUCAUGUUCCAUGAAUACACUAAGGGGUUAUACGAUAUAUCCGGUGUGGAAGUAGGCCAACAUUUCUAUUGGCAAAUAGGUGGGUUCCAGGUCCAUGCCCAAGUACUUAUUACUUCUUGGGUUGUAAUUGCUAUCUUAUUAGGUUCAGCCUUUAUAGCCGUUCGGAAUCCACAAACCGUUCCGACUGCCACUCAAAAUUUCUUCGAAUAUGUCCUUGAAUUCAUUCGAGACGUGAGCAAAACUCAGAUUGGAGAAGAAUAUGGCCCAUGGGUUCCCUUUAUUGGAACUCUGUUUCUUUUUAUUUUUGUUUCUAAUUGGUCAGGUGCUCUUUUACCUUGGAAAAUCAUAGAGUUACCUCAUGGGGAGUUAGCCGCACCCACGAAUGAUAUAAAUACUACCGUUGCUUUAGCUUUGCUCACGUCAAUAGCAUACUUCUAUGCGGGUCUUUCCAAAAAGGGAUUAGGCUAUUUCAGUAAAUACAUUCAACCGACUCCAAUUCUUUUACCCAUUAACAUUUUAGAAGAUUUCACAAAACCUCUAUCACUUAGUUUUCGACUUUUUGGGAAUAUAUUAGCCGAUGAAUUAGUAGUUGUUGUUCUUGUUUCUUUAGUACCUUUAGUGGUUCCUAUACCCGUCAUGUUCCUUGGAUUAUUUACAAGCGGUAUUCAAGCUCUUAUUUUUGCAACUUUAGCUGCGGCUUAUAUAGGCGAAUCUAUGGAGGGACAUCAUUGACUCGUUUUCGAAAUAGUCUUUUUUUGUAGCUUAGAACAAAGGCAAUGGAUGCGUAACUCAAGAUAAUCUACUUAUACUUCUACUUAGGAAAAAUACAUAUCCAAACAUAAAUCUACAAAUACCGCAUAUACGAUCAAGAGUCGUAGAAAAAAAAUUACGAUAUUGGGGAAUUGUAGGAAAGAGAUCUAAAGGAUCUUUUUCCUCAAAUUCCUCUUUGGCCUUAUUAUAUCAUCCCCCCUCUCCCCGCCAAUUAAUAUUUUCUUUAUAUUGUUUUGUUCAUUUUUGUUCAUUCAAUUCGAAUAGCAAAUACCAAGAGUGAUAAGUUGAAUAAAAAUUCUUAUAGUAUCACAGGCGGGUGAUUAAAAAAAAAGAAAAGAAAGAUGCUUUAUAAAAUAAUUCCCCUUUUAGUUGCUUUUAGUCAAUUCUUCAAUUCAACGAUUGACCAAAAGAGAAUAUUAAUAUAAUAAAUUGCAUGGCCGUACCUCAAUCAAAUACUGAUAUUUAGUUCUAUGCAAUGAUUCGCCCCAAUGAAUUCGUCUAUUUCGAUUGUAGCCUGGUGGAUAAUGAUAACGAAAAGGAAUAGAAAAAAAAAAAAGAGAUUUAUAAAAAACGGGGUGAUUCGGCGAGGGGUACAUAAUUAGGUAUAUGGAAUCAAAUGCCAACUCUUGUGUAUUUUUUGAGUUUUAAAAGGGGUUCGAGAAUACGAUUGACUUUAAGAUACGAAUACUUGGAGUCUAAGAUAUUAAUAGUUGGUUUACGUUCUGUAAGAAAGACAUGUAUAUGGGAUAUUAGAUAUUGCUAGUUAUAUAUGAACUAAAGAUAUAUCUAAUCCACCCUACUCUUGUGAUUAUUGUGAAUUUCGAUAGGGAUUCUAAUAGAAAUUUAGAAAUUGUUCGAUUUCGUCUUUGCUUUGAUGCUUUGACUGGGAAUUGAAUCAAUAAAAAUAAAGAGAUGAAAGAAAGAAAACGAACGAAGAAUUCAAAAAAGGGUUCCGAAAAAAGAAAUGGAAGAACAAAAGUCGUAUGGAUUUACAAAAAUCCUGUGUUGUGCCUGUGGAUCGAAACUAAAAAAGAGAUAUCUAAAAAGUUUUGAUGGUUCAAUAAUAAUAUUAUUAUUACGCCAAUUGGGAGUUCUUAGUUACUUCGGCUGGGCGAAUCCUAGUGACGGAAUAAUUAAGUCAUAAUUUAUUGGACGAUUGUAUCAUUAACGAUUUCUUUAGUUUUUCUUUAUUUUAGUGCGAGGGACUUAUCAUGAAUCCACUGAUUUCUGCCGCUUCCGUUAUUGCUGCUGGGUUGGCUGUUGGGCUUGCUUCUAUUGGACCUGGAGUUGGUCAAGGUACUGCUGCGGGCCAGGCAGUAGAAGGGAUCGCGAGACAGCCCGAGGCAGAGGGAAAAAUACGAGGUACUUUAUUGCUUAGUCUGGCUUUUAUGGAAGCUUUAACAAUUUAUGGGCUGGUUGUAGCAUUAGCACUUUUAUUUGCGAAUCCUUUUGUUUAAUCCUAGAAAUAGGAAGGGCAAUUUACUUAUUUUUUUCUCUUAUUUAUUAUAUCCGUGUUUCUGGCUUUUUUGAAUUCUAUCAAGAUUUAACUCCUCCAAUUGGAAGGACUGAUUUGAGGAUGGGGAAUUAGGAUAGGCAUACCAGUUCGCCUUUUUCUUUCCCUUUCUUAGUCUAAAGGAAACCCUCUUUUUAAGUGAUGCUGCAACAAACGAGGGGUUUUGCAAUGGACAGGAGUCCCGGCCCUAAUACUAAUAAGUAUCCCUCUUAUCGGGAAUCCCCAAUUGCCAAUUCAAAGAAAGGAUUUCGAAAUCGAAUUUUUGACCCUGUUUCGAAAUAGGUAAAUUACUAAAAAAACAAAUAAAUUAAAUAAAUAUAUAUUACGUAGAAAAAAAAAAAGAACUGCGUUCUUUUUUUUUUUUUAGUCUAUCUAAAAGAGGAGAUCAUAUGAAAAAUGUAACCGAUUCUUUCGUUUCUUUGGUUAACUGGCCAUUCGCCGGGAGUUUCGGGCUUAAUACCGAUAUUUUAGCAACAAAUCCAAUAAAUCUAAGUGUAGUGCUUGGUGUAUUGAUCUUUUUUGGAAAGGGAGUGUGUGCGAGUUGUUUAUUUCAAGAAUAGGCUGGACCCAACCAGCUGCACUUUUUUUCGUUAUAACUAGGACCAAAGGGAAAAGGGUGCAUGAUUCCGCGAAUUACUUCUGAAUAAAUUUCAAAUCAUAUUUAAGAACCAUAGCAUUUCGUGAUUUGUUGGUAAAUCUAUUUUGAUUCUCUAUUAACCAAACCAAUAAUGUGGGACCAUUAACAUGG